GUUGGCAUCCCUCCUCUUGGACCGCUUGCGGUUCCUCAGGAUGAACACGAGCAUGCCCACCACGGUGAAGGCGGAGGUGACGAACACCAGCAGCAGCCCGGGCACCAGCACGGAGAUGGACACCCUGCUGGUGUCCAGAAACCAAACUGAGAAAGGAGUGUGCUUCAUGCAGUGUCUGUGACUGAUAGGAGGAAAGACUUGAAGAAGAGACAGAAAAAAUGCUGGCUGCUUAGGAAGAAAAAUAUUGAUGGUAAUCAUCUAAAAUCACACUUUUAAAAUUAAUUGGUUACUUGUUUAUUCAACUUGCUAAAUAAAUACUUGAUGUGCAAA